GGUCAAGUUAUUAAGGGUGCAGGGCGGAUGCCUUGGCACUAGGAGCCGAUGAAGGACGUGAUAAGCUGCGAUAAGCUUCGGGGAGUUGCACGUAAACUUUGAUCCGAAGAUUUCCGAAUGAGGAAACUCACUUAGAGUAAUGUCUAAGUAUCAUUAAGUGAAUACAUAGCUUAAUGAGGGGAACUCAGGGAACUGAAACAUCUAAGUACCUGAAGGAAGAGAAAGAAAUUCGAUUCCGUAAGUAGCGGCGAGCGAACGCGGAUUAGCCCAAACCAAUAAAGUUUUCUUUAUUGGGGUUGCGGACAUAUCAUAACGAAGAGGUAUCGUAAUUGAAGAGGUUUGGAAAGACCCACCACAGAAGGUAAUAGUCCUGUAUGUUAAACGAGAAGACUUUAGAUAUGAUCCAGAGUACCACGGGACACGUGAAACCCUGUGGGAAGCAGGAGGGACCACCCUCCAAGGCUAAAUACUACCUAGUGACCGAUAGCGUAUAGUACCGUGAGGGAAAGGUGAAAAGAACCCCGGGAGGGGAGUGAAAUAGAACCUGAAACCCUGCACUUACAAGCUGUGGAAGCACAUUUCUUGUGUGACCGCGUACUUUUUGUAGAACGGGCCAACGAGUUACGUUAAGUAGCAAGGUUAAGCACUUAAGGUGCGGAGCCGUAGCGAAAGCGAGUUUUAA
rnacentral:rRNA from 1 species